GGAGACAUGAGAGCAAUCUGGCUGAGACUUCUGCCACCCUGUUUGUUGCCAGGGUUGAUUCUAAUGAUUGGGCUGACUAGGCAAGUGUCUCCUUCCUCCUGUAAUACUCCAAGUGCGUCCCAAACCCCCCCCGGCCCUCGAAGCUGCAUGCUCAGUGGAAGAGGAUGACCUCUCCUUUUGUCUAAAAUAUAGGAGUAGCUCUGCUCCCUGGCUAGAACCUCCAAAUAAUCUUCAAGGUCCAUUUGUAGGAGAACAUAGGGAAGUCAAGUCUCCAGGACUCCAGACACAUGCAUGUGGCUGGAGAGAAAGAGAGAGAGAAAGGGGGGGGGGGAGUUUUUCUGAUUUUGUGUUUCAU
rnacentral:snRNA from 1 species